rnacentral:rRNA from 1 species
AUUGAACGCUGGCGGCAGGCCUAACACAUGCAAGUCGAACGAGUGGCGGACGGGUGAGUAAUGUCUGGGAAACUGCCUGAUGGAGGGGGAUAACUACUGGAAACGGUAGCUAAUACCGCAUACCAUCGGAUGUGCCCAUAUGGGAUUAGCUAGUAGGUUGGGUAAAGGCUCACCUGGGCGACGAUCCCUAGCUGGUCUGAGAGGAUGAUCAGCCACACUGGGACGGAGCCACGGCCCAGACUCCUACGGGAGGCAGCAUUGGGGAAUAUUGGACAAUGGGCGCAAGCCUGAUGCAGCCAUGCCGCGUGUAUGAAGAAGGCCUUCGGGUUGUAAAGUACUUUCAGCGGGGAGGCGUUACCCGCAGAAGAAGCACCGGCUAACUCCGUGCCAGCAGCCGCGGUAAUUC